rnacentral:rRNA from 1 species
UUAUGGUAGGGCUUCACACGUCAUACAAUGGUCGGUACAGAGGUUGCCAACCCGCGAGGGGGAGCUAAUCCCACAAAGCCGAUCGUAGUCCGGAUCGCAGUCUGCAACUCGACUGCGUGAAGUCGGAAUCGCUAGUAAUCGUGGAUCAGCAUGUCACGGUGAAUACGUUCCCGGGUCCUU